AAUAGUUUACAUUAUCAUAACCAGAAGCUAAAAUAUACUAGUUCCUGCAUGUGAAAAAUACCUUAAGCUAAAUUCGUAGGUUUUAAAAACCAAUAAUGUUUUUAAAUGUAAAUUUUUAGAAUCUUUAGAGAAAAUUAUACUGUGCACAGAAGACAGUCCUGUCCUGGAAAGCAAUAUCCCAUUAAUAAAAACUGCUUGAAUUUUAACAUUUUGGGUAGAUAAUUUCAAAGAAAUAAAAUGUAAGAGAAAGUAGUAUAAUAGAUCAUCAAAUAUUCACCAACCAGCAUCAUUUGUUAGUUCAGGGCUAAUUUUGCUUCAUCUAUACUGACACCAACCUCCAUCCUCCCUGGAUUAUCUUGAAACAAAUCUCAUAUUUUAUUGAAGACAGCAGGGAUAUACAAUCCAUUAUGAGAACCUUAGGAACUCUUUUACUGAUGAACAGUUUCGGUCCCCAAACUCCACUGUUCACUGGUCCCCGUAUUCAUAAGUCCAGGUUCUGCUGUGACACACUGCGACAUCAAGGGGCCAGCCGACACAGAAAUUACUUUGUACGAUCUUCAGCGCCAUCUGCUGGAAGCAGACAGAGUUGAUCUACUGUUACUCCAUAAGGCAGAUUCAUUUUACUUUCAAUUUUUAUUUAUUUUCCUUUUUAUGGGUCACACC